rnacentral:rRNA from 1 species
AACUAGCCCCGAAAAUGGAUGGCGCUUGAGCGGGAGACUUAUACUCAACCGUUGUAUGGCUUGUGUUUUUUUUUUUUUGGGAAAUCUGGCCGCAACGAGUAAGAGGGUCGCAAUGGUUAGCGUUGAAGACUUUGGGCGUAGGCCCGGUUGAAGCUUCCAUUGGUGCAGAUCUUGGUGGUAGUAGCAAAUAUUCAAGUGAGAUCCUUGAAGACUGAAGUGGAGAAGGGUUCCACGUGAACAGCAGUUGAAUGUGGGUCAGUCGAUCCUAAGAUAUUGGCUAGUGCCGUUUUUUAAAAUAAAAUAGAGGAAUGGAGGUGUAAUCCAUCUGAUNAAUCGAAAAGGGAAACGGGUUAAUAUUCCCGUACCUCGGGCCGCGACCACGCUUAUCC